GUGGAUAGAUUCUCGAAAAUGGCACACUUUAUACCAUGUCAUAAAAGCGAUGAUGCUGUUAAUGUUGCUGAUUUGUUCUUUCGUGAAAUUAUUCGCUUGCAUGGUGUGCCAAAUACUAUUGUUUCAGAUCGUGAUACUAAAUUUCUUAGCCACUUUUGGAGAUGUUUAUGGGCUAAGUUGGGGACUAAACUGCUUUUUAGUACUACUUGUCACCCCCAAACUGAUGGACAAACUGAAGUAGUCAAUAGAACGUUGUCUACUAUGCUUAGGGCUGUUUUGAAGAAUAAUAAGAAAAUGUGGGAG
rnacentral:rRNA from 1 species